rnacentral:lncRNA from 1 species
GCCGCCCGAGCCCCCGGCACCGCCACCAUUGUAGGAACCUCAAGCAGCGCCGCCCCUUCCCCUUCUCUCGAUCUUUCCACACCUAUAGCUAGGCAGGGGCUCAAUCCUCUCUUUCUGUAUGCUCCCUUUCAUCCCCGCCUCCCUGUCCCUCUGCUCUGUGUCUUUCGAUGGUGAGAGGAAUAUGAGAGGAUGAGGACGGGAGGAUGGGAAGAAAAGUCGAUCUGGAACAGGGACGCCAUGGUCCAUUCGAUCUAGAACCGGAGGACAAGAGGACGAGGUCUUCUACAGGUUCGAUCUUUGCCUAAAUCGAUGUGGUCAAUGCCGAGUACAUUAAAAUAUUGUUGGCUCGGCAGCGAUGCCGUAAGAAAUUUGUUUGACACCGGCUUGACAAUGUUUGUGUUCCUAGCAUGAAAAGAGUGGGCGUCAGAUUUAGACCCACUGAACUACUCCACGGCACAAUGAUCUAGCCAUGGUUUCUGAGCCAAACUUAAUUUAAUCAUGACCAAAUGCAUAUGGCAUAGUACGUAAGGAUGGCAUUCUUCAGCCGCCACACAUAAUCAGGAAGUACUGCAUCUGGGCAAAGCAGAGAGCGAAAUUCAUAGUUGUCCCCAAGAGCUGACCAGCUGAGUGGACCUUCUUACCAGGAAAGGUCCAGGACAUAGAACCCCUUGACCAACUAAGGGCGCAAGAGACGACACAGGUGAGCAAGAAAAUUGCAGUAGUGUGCCCUCUCGGNNNNNNNNNNNNNNNNNNNNNNNNNNNNNNNNNNNNNNNNNNNNNNNNNNNNNNNNNNNNNNNNNNNNNNNNNNNNNNNNNNNNNNNNNNNNNNNNNNNNNNNNNNNNNNNNNNNNNNNNNNNNNNNNNNNNNNNNNNNNNNNNNNNNNNNNNNNNNNNNNNNNNNNNNNAUUCGGCUUCCACCGCCAAGCCCGACGUGGAGUUUGAAGACAAAUGGAAUCGCCAUCUUGCAACAAAAAUUGACAGUAAUGAUUCAUGUCAGCAGUUUGCGAAUAGAAGAACUCAAGUGAGCCAUCAACUUCUUCCUUGCGAGAGUAUCUUCAGUGUACUUUGCUUCCUCACGUGAGCCACCGAGCUAAUUGUCUGCUGCUUUGAAAAUUUGGAAUUGGAGCAAGUAGGUGUUCCGGUGCCCAGAAUUUUUUACGGUACUGGCUGGGCAAUGGAGGGCACCGUUUUAUGCAAAUUUCAGACUUUACUUCUUGGCUACUUGCUACCGUUUGAGCAACUGCUUUGCCUUUCUCUUCAUAAAAAUUGUCUUGGCUUUUGAUGCAAUUGUUCUCAUGGCACUGCACGGAUAGGCAUUGUAUCAUUAUUUUUGCUUAACUGUUCUCUUUUUAUUUUGUUUCAGGUUCCCGAUUUCUGUAGCCAUGAUUAUGGCCUAUUUUUCUGAUGCAUGUUGCUUUUUUGAAUAAAAGAUGUACGAAAAUUCAUUGACGGCAUGGAUUAGAGUAAUUGCUUUUUGCUGAUUUGGUCGUUUCUUUACAUUGUUUAUUCCAGCAGAAAUCAUGCUCAAGGAGAGUACAAGUCCAGUAGAGAUUAUAUGGAAUUAAAUAGGUGCAUGUGAUUGGCGUGGUUACAGGUUUCCCACAUUUUUGUGGUUACCAUGCAUUCCAUUCACAUUUAAUAAAUGCAUUAGCAAAAAAUAAUUGGUCAAAGUUUAACUUCUGAGAUAGGUUUAAGUCAAUAACAGGAAGAGAGUAUGUUAAAUGUUGAUUGCUCUGGCUUAUAUGAUGAUAGAUUGCUUCUUCAAAGCUCUUUCUGUACAAAGGAAUACAUAUAUUGGACAUUUGAGGGGAGCUUUAGUUCAAUAGAUAUUGUCCUAACUAACCGUGAGUGAGUUCAUGCUAAUCUAUCAUUACAGAGUGUUUUCUUCCGAUUUUUUGAGUCCACAUAGUUACAAUCUCUAUCUAGAACUUUUCAAAUUGUUGUCAUAGUUGCUUUACACAUUAGUGAUUUACCAUUCUCAAACCUUUUGUAUCACAUAUUUUUGUCACUCUGCACUUGCAUGUUUCCUCUAGGAAAAUUUUCUAAGCAGAGCUAACCAUUGAUAUAUAUUACCUCCAUCCCUAAUUAGUUGACUCAAAUAUGUCUAGAUACGGAUGUAGCCACACGUGAGCGCUUUUGCUUGCAGUUCUAUGGUUUGUUCUUUUUUAUUGUUCAUCAAUGAGUUGAACCAUUAACCUGACUAAGAUUUUAUCCCGCUAGGCAGCGUGAGCCCUGAGCCCACUAAACAUUAUUUGAGAGGCGAUUUCCUAUGCAUGGUUGUAGCUACACACCCUUAGGUAUAAUUACGUUUUUAAUAUAUGACGUGUUGGGUUUCAAUGACAAUUGCACAAGUGCAUUUUUUAUGUAUAGAAUUGAGUUUUUAUCACCUCUCUUUGUCUUUUCUAUUAUAUUAUUAACACAAGUGUCCUUUUGUUGUGUAGAAAGGGUGUUUCUCACUUCUCUCGGUCUUUUUUGCUUGCCUUUUUGGUAUAAUUGCAUGUUUGCCUGCGUGGCUGGUCCAAAGUCAUGAUAUUUUUGUUAUAGAGUUAUUUUUCAUAGUCCAAAAUAAUUUACCAAUUGAAUUAGAGCUAAAAAAUGGUGCCAUGUGUAGCUACCACCAUGGUAGCAAAUUAUUUCUAUUGUAGAAAGAAAAUAUUUAGCCUUAGAGAAAAUAAGUAAAGAGUAAUAUUUUGCACGUUAUGAGCUUGUCCUUUCUGAAGCUUGGCCAGCUUCGAUCAUCAUGAACAUCUAUGACAAGAACAAAAUGAACAUUUCUCCUUUUCGGCUAUAUUUGUGGUGGACUUCUUGUUUAUAUUGGUAAAUGUAGUUUACUAAUUCCGUGACAAGUACCAAGUGGACACAUCAUUUCAGUUGGAACUAUUUGUAGCUCUUUGUUCUGCCUGUUUAGGAUAUACUCUGACUUAACCAACUUCGGCACUCCAAAGUUUUGCUACAAGCCUACAACACUUUUCUCUAGCUGCUGAGCUCCCUCAUUUUGUGGUAUUUUUGUUAAUCUAUGCAUCUCCCUUAUUCCACAAAUUAGAGAGUUGGAAAAAUAUUUCACCAUGUGUAGGAAUAGGAUUAGAGGGAGUACACCACUUUAUUUAUUUAUAUACAACGCAAGCUAAGAUAUCUUCAUUUCAUAUAUUAAAAAUUAAAUAUACGUAAUCAGUAAAUGUACAUGCUUUCUCACAUCAUAUUGCUACAUGUUAAUGAUUUGUGCUAUCUUAAUGUAGGAUGUAGCGGCACUUGAUCGAAAGAUCCAGGUUGGGAAGGGACAUUUCUAUGACAAGCACAAGUGGAAGGACCAAAAGGUCCAGAUUGAAAGUAUACCAUUCCAAGGUACAAGCACAUGUCAUGGAAAUAUUGCUACGGGUGGUUGUAAAGUCCACAUAUUAAGAUGUGAUGUUGUUGAAUGAUGUGAGAUCCUCUUGCUUUGUAUGUCUAAUUUUAUGAUGGUGAAUUGAUGGAUGUUGAGUAGAUUAACAUUUUCUUUUGCACCGUGUAUGUGCAAAAUGCAAAUGAUAUGGAAAUAGAAGAACAAGAGAUUGAGAUGGUAAUGUCCAUCCAUGGAAAUAGCCUUAGCAUGGUCUAUUCAUGUGAUUGCAUGCGCA